ensembl:lncRNA
AAACCCCAUUUAACACGAAAAUCACGCAUUUUCUCUUCGAUAAGCAAGCAUUUAACUUGAAAAUCACGCAUUUUCUCUUCGCAAAUCCCCAAUUUAAGAGAAAAUCACGCGUUUUCUCUUCGUGAAUCCCCCAUUUAAGUGAAAAUCACGUGUUUUCUCUUCACAAGUCCCCCAUUUAAGCGAAAAUCACGCGUUUUCUCUUCGAGAAUCCCCCAUUUAAGCAAAAAUCACGCGUUUUCUCUUCGAGAAUCCCCAAUUUAACAUGAAAAUCACGCGUUUUCUCUUCACAAAUUCCCCAUUUAAGCGAAAAUCACGCCUUUUCUCUUCGCAAAUCCCCCAUUUAAGCGAAAAUCACGCCUUUUCUCUUUGCAAAUCCCCAAUUUAAGAGAAAAUCACGCGUUUUCUCUUCACAAAUACCCCAUUUAAGCGAAAAUCACGCCUUUUCUCUUCGCAAAUCCCCCAUUUAACCUGAAAAUCACGCGUUUUCUCUUCGAGAAUUCCCCAUUUAAGCAAAAAUCACGCGUUUUCUCUUCGCUUAAAUGGGGGAUUCUCGAGGAGAAAACACGUGAUUUUUGCUUAAAUGGGGGAUUCUUGAAGAGAAAACGCGUGAUUUUUGGCUUAAAUGGGGGAUUCUUGAAGAGAAAAUGCUUGACUUUCGCUGAAAUGGGGUAUUUGCGAAGAGAAAAUGCGUGAUCUUCGGGUUAAAUGGGGGAUUCUCGAAGAGAAAAAGCAUGAUUUUUGCUUAAAUUGGGGAUUCUCGAAGAGAAAACGUGAGAUUUUCACUGAAAUGCAGGAUUCUCGAUGAGGAAAUGCGUGAUUUUCGCUAAAAUGGGGGAUUUGUGAAGAGAAAACGCGUGAUUUUCGCUUAAAUGGGGGAUUCCCGAAGAGAAAAACGCGUGAUUUUCGGGUUAAAUGGGGGAUUCUCAAAGAGAAAACGAGUGAUUUUCAGGAUAAAUGGAUGUUUAUCAAAGAGAAAAUGCAUGAUUUUUGCUUAAAUGGGGGAUUCACAAAGAGAAAACGCGUGAUUUUCGCUGAAAUGGUGGAUUUGCAAAGAGAAAACGCGUGAUUUUCGCUUCAAUGGGGGAUUCUCGAAGAGAAAACGUGUGAUUUUCGCUAAAAUGGAAGAUUCUCAAAGAGAAAACGCGUGAUUUUCGGGUUAAAUGGGGGAUUCAUGAAGAGAAAACGUGUUAUUUUCACGUAAAUGGGAGAUUUGCGAAGAGAAAACGCGUGAUUUUCGGGUAAAAUGGUGAAUUCUCGAAGAGAAAACGCGUGAUUUUCGCUUAAAUGGGGGAUUUGCGGAGAGAAAACGCAUAAUUUUCGGGUUAAAUGGGGGAUUCUCGAAGAGAAAACGUGUGAUCUUUGCUUAAAUGGGGGAUUUGAGAAGAGAAAACGCGUGGUUUUCGGGUUAAAUGGUGGAUUCUCGAAGAGAAAACGCGUGAUUUUCGGGUUAAAUGGGGAUUUCGAAGAGAAAACGUGUGAUUUUCGGGUUAAAUGGGGGAUUUGCGAAGAGAAAGCGCGUGAUUUUUGCUUAAAUGGGGGAAUUGCAAAGAGAAAACGCGUGAUUUUUGCUUAAAUGGGAGAUUCCCGAUAAGAAAACACGUGAUUUUUGCUUAAAUGGGGGACUUGCGGAGAGAAAACGCAUAAUUUUCGGGUUAAAUGGGGGAUUCUCGAAGAGAAAACGUGUGAUUUUCGGGUAAAUGGGGGACUCUCGAAGAGAAAACGCGUGGUUUUCGGGUUAAAUGGUGGAUUCUCGAAGAGAAAACGCGUGAUUUUUGCCUAAAUGGGGGAUUCUCGAAGAGAAAACGCGUGAUUUUCGGGUUAAAUGGGGGAUUCUCGAAGAGAAAACGCGUGAUUUUCGCUUAAAUGGGGGAUUUGCGAAGAGAAAAUGCGUGAUUUUCGCUUAAAUGGGGGAUUUGCGAAGAGAAAUAGCGUGAUUUUUGCUUAAAUGGGGGAUUCUUGAAGAGAAAACGCGUGAUUUUUGCUUAAAUGGGGGAUUCUUGAAGAGAAAACGCGUGAUUUUUGCUUAAAUGGGGGAUUCUCGAACAGAAAACACGUGAUUUUCGCUUAAAUGGGGGAUUCUCGAAGAGAAAACUUGUGUUUUUCGCUUAAAUGGAAAAUCUGUGAAGAGAAAACGCGUGAUUGUCGCUUAAAUUUGGGAUUUCUGAACAGCAAACACGUGAUUUUCACUUAAAUGGGGGAUUCUGAAAGAGAAAACGCGUGAUUUUCGGCUUAAAUGGGGGAUUUGUGAAGAGAAAACGCGUGAUUUUUGGUUAAAUGGGGGAUUCUCGAAGUGAUAAUUCGUGAUUUUUGGCUUCAAUGGGGGAUUCUCGAAAAGAAAACGUGUGAUUUUCGCUUAAAUGGGGGAUUCUUGAAGAGAAAACUCGUGAUUUUUUUAUUAAAUGGGGGUUUCUAGAAGAGAAAAUGCGUGAUUUUUGCUUAAAUGCUGAAUUCUCGAAGAGAAAACGCGUGAUUUUCGGGUUAAAUGGGGGAUUCUUGAAGAGAAAACGCGUGAUUUUCGCUUAAAUGGGGGAUUGGCAAAGAGAAAACGCGUGAUUUUCAGGCUAAAUGGGGGAUUUGCGAAGAGAAAACGCGUGAUUUUUGCUUAAAUGGGGGAUUCUCGAAGAGAAAACGCGUGAUUUUCGCUUAAAUGGGGGAUUUGCGAAGACAAAACACGUGAUUUUCGCUUACAUGGGGGAUUUGCGAAGAGAAAACGCGUGAUAUUCGCUUAAAUGGGGGAUUUCGAAGAGAAAACGCGUGAUUUUCGCUUAAAUGGGG